CCUACGGGCGGCAGCAGUGGGGAAUAUUGCACAAUGGGGGAAACCCUGAUGCAGCGACGCCGCGUGAGUGAAGAAGUAUUUCGGUAUGUAAAGCUCUAUCAGCAGGGAAGAAAAUGACGGUACCUGAUUCAGAAGCCCCGGCUAACUACGUGCCAGCAGCCGCGGUAAUACGUAGGGGGCAUGCGUUAUCCGGAUUUACUGGGUGUAAAGGGAGCGUAGACGGCAGCACAAGUCUGGAGUGAAAUGCCGGGGCUUAACCCCGGAACUGCUUUGGAAACUGUGCAGCUAGAGUGCAGGAGAGGUAAGUGGAAUGCCUGGUGUAGCGGUGAAAUGCGUAGAUAUUAGGAGGAACACCAGUGGCGAAGGCGGCUUACUGGACUGUAACUGACGUUGAGGCUCGAAAGCGUGGGGAGCAAACAGGAUUAGAUACCCGGGUAGUC
rnacentral:rRNA from 1 species